rnacentral:rRNA from 1 species
GUUGGUUGCAAUCGCCUUAUUGUCAACUCUGAUAAUAUGGAAAUGAUUGACACAAUGAAAAAUGGAGGACAAUCAGCGGGUGCGGCAACAGCAGUGUUCGACAAUUGCUAUUUUAUGGCAUGUGAUUUUUCUGUUACUAGGUUUGAACAUUGUAAUAGGGAAGCAAAUAAAGUUGCUCAUGAACUUGCUAUACUAGUGAAAUUUUCAGAGACUAGGGAUUGGUGUGAGGAGCCUAUGGAGGAUAUUGUAUCUUUUUUUAUUGAUGAUGUAACUCUUAUUUCCAAUUAA